UCGCAGGCAAACAUUUGGUGUACACCGCUGUUAAAUGCCGGUCUUUAAAAGAUUGUAAAGUCGCAUUUAAUUACAGCAAUGCGGAAAUUUUGUUACGGUUUAGGUUAAUAAUCAUUCUUUAUUUUGAUUUGUGCUAAAGAGGUCUGAAUCUCUUCAUUGGGAGCUAUAUCAACGUACGGUGAAGAGUUUUUAGCCCUGCCCGAUUCCGAAGCUGGAGGACCACCACUUGUCGGUUGUCCGUGACUACUUCGCAUCUACCUUCCACAUCUGAAGGCCGUCUCCGCCAUUCGUAAGCUGAGGACGUGCCAUACAACGGUGACAAAGGACUUUCUUCAAAUGUGUGGGCAAAGCCCGACUCACAAGGCCGAGUUUCUGCAAGAACCGACUACACGUUUAUAAUAUUCAUUGAGAUUCAAGCUGAGCCUGGCGGUUGGCUGCAGAUGUUUCAAAUUAAGGGUCUGGCCGUCGAAUCGGAAACUUCUAUCAAAAAUCACUCCUAUCAAUAUGAAGCUUCAACACACGCAGCUAGCGAAGUCUCUGUACAAAGCCAUUUGGUGGUUGAAGGUGCUUAUUUCAGGGUGGGGCUUCGAAUCGUGCAGCCCACGAUGGAUGAACGAAAGGAAAUUGGAAUAAAGAACAAAGGAAACUGAAAGCAAUAACGAGAAAUGGGAACCGAUUCAAGAUUGAAAAUUACUAUAGAGGUUAUGAAAGAAUGGAUAUUUCAGAUUAAUACGUUACUGUUUUUCGCUGCAGUGUCGAAACGUGGGAAUUUGGAUGGUUUCUUCAGAGCGUAUUCCAAACUUGUUGUUAUUAAAGACACGUUGCCUCCCAUUUUGUGGAAUGUACAUGGCUACUGCGUCGAGAAAGAUAAACUUUCUGGCUAUAUAAAAAUGAGUACAACAAUUUAAUCAUAAAACCUGAAUGGAAAAGCCCAUUAUAAGACAGAGAAAUACAUUGAAAGUUAACAUUAAAAUUAAUAUUAGAGAAAUAGGGUGUCAUGGUGUCAAUUGAAUUCAUCUGGCUCUGCGCAACAGGCCGGCUGACCAAUCCCUCAGCACUGUUGUUCUAAAUGGAAAUGGAAUUCAAGUUAUGAAACUUCUCAAUGAAACUUGCCGACAUCACUGAAUGCAACCUCAUUAGUGCGUACACUCUUUUCACACCUCGCCGCGAAGUACGCGUUUAACUUGGGUGACAUGCAAGGGAAGACGCUGAAAGUGAUAAUACGACAAUAGAAGUAUUUUGCACACAGAUCUUCGAAUAUGAGAGGUUAGGAGAGAGGUUAGUAACUGUUAUUACUCGAAUAACACAAAUGAAUAUCUAUUUCUGAAGCCGGAGGAGAACCAGCUCCCAAAAUAUGGUCCGCAUCAAAUAUACCUCAAACAAUGGCCAAUGUCCAAAAUACUAUAAUGUUCGAAAUUGCCAUAAUAUAAUACGCACAGGCUAUCUAACAGAGUUUGUUAAUUUCUUCGUUAAUGUAUCCUAAGUAUUUCCAAAUUAGAGUGGGCUAAACCAAAGCGGUGCUCUGUCUCCGCCGCAUUUAAAUGUUAUUUUCGAAUAUACCAGGAAGGACUGGAACUGAAUGAUCUAAAUCAGGUUCACAUCUAUGCUGAUGGUGUUAAUUAAUUUGGCCAGACUAUAGAUACCAUAAAGAAUGGCGCCGUAUUGUCCUACAGAGAAGAAAAUAAAAUGAUUUGGGACUUAAUACAGAAGAACUUGACAGAAGACGAGAAUAAACAGUAAACUCAUAACUAUAACGUAUGUAAUAGAUGGUUCGAGAAUAAUGUACUUGAAGACGCGAGAAGUACCAACUUCGAAAAAUUUUAGUAUAUCUCAGACAAUAGGCAGCGACCAAUACAGUAUUGUUAUAACCAUAAAAAUAGUAGGAAUUUCGAUUGAUAGUUACCACAGCAUCCUUGGUAAAUUUUUGAAGAUGCAUCACGUUUGCCAGUACACCGCAUUGAGAAUGCUGAUGAAGGAACAAUGCGACGACCGCAUGAAGAUCUAUCAUGAGCUCAUCAGUACAGCAGAUAACAAUGCAGGGAUUCUCCGCAGGUAAUUAAACCUGGUGCUUCGUUUAGGUCCUCAAAGGAAACGGCAGUUCUGACACGAUCGUUCAAAUUUGGGAGUCGUUUUUCGACUGGUAAUGGCAUUAUGAACCACGCGGUUACUGCGGUAAAUGAAGUCACUCACUUACAGGAAGCAAUCCACCGUAACCCUUCAGAAUGUGGGUGGCCAAGAGCUCAUGCGUGACAUAUCUGGCAACUCACCUACUUCUCUCCUUCUGAGAUGUCACCCUACCAAUCAUCUGGCUUGCGAUGUCUAGCUUUGUCCGCAGAUGAAAAUCCAAGUUAAUACCGGAAGUGUGAAGCUGCAGAAGGAGACAUAAGUCCUCUCACACUCGUCGGGUUUAAUAUGGCCCUUAUGCUGUGGUGCUUUCGAAGUUCGAUU